AAAUAAAAAUUCUUCCCAUCCCCCACCCCUCAAAAACUUAACUGAUUUUUUAAAGAUAAACUUACUAUAGCCUUUCACAUAAAAAUUCCCCAAACAGUAAAAAAUAAUUGAUAACACAACAGCAACUGCUUCAGCGCCAAAUUAUGCCAUUAUAACAAAGAAGAAACAUAAUCAAUAAAACAACUAUCAAGAUAAUUAAAAAUCUUAUGUGUUGCAACAAAAGUCACAUAGAAUGCUCACCCUUGAUCAAACUAAAAAAGACCCUGGAAAAUAUGCAAAUCUUAUUCUAUUAAGUUGCUUUAUAUGGCUCAUUACAACUUUUAACCGAUCAGUUAAUAUCAUUUGUUUCAAUGGGAAUUCUGCAUUAUCUGAUAAGAAAGUCGUAUCAACAAAUCCGACAUGUUUACAAUACAAAGAAAGGAAUAA
rnacentral:misc_RNA from 1 species